CCAUGGACCUUGCCGCUAAUAGUGAUGACUGUGGUGGCCACCGCGGUGGUUGCCAUGGUGGAACCCCGUAGCAAUGGUGCCUCUCCUAUGAUCACAUUUAGCCUCGUGGAUUGCAGUGGACCCAUUUCUUGAAUAUUGGAAUUUUCACUUGUGGAAUUUUUUAAAUUUCUAGCCAUUUUAUUUCUCUUUUACGUUUUAUCAAAGAAUCUUUGCAAAUAAAAAAUUCUAAUAAUAAGAACGUACGAAAAAUCUACAAAUGGACAAGAAAAUAGAAAAACUUUUUGAUGCGGGAGUCUUCUACAAGUGUGUGACUCUUCUCUCAAUGAAAGCACCAAUUUGUGGAUACAAAUUUCCGUCUCCUUCUUAGACAAAAUUGCACGUACAAAACAAUUAAUACCUUAGGGUCAAGGCCACGAGCCUCACGCGCUCACGAUGAAUGGGGGCCAUUGGCUGAAUAACCUCCGAUGCCAAAGUUAGAAUUUAGAAAGAAAAGUGUUUAGAUAGUUGUUGGAGUUUUUCAAGAGUGUGGACCUAGGUUUUUAGAGAAAAUAAGGUAGUUUAUAUAGGGCAUGCCCGGUCCCCUUUGGAGAAAAGGCGGCCGGACCUUUGGGAUGUUUUUUAGUGUAUUUUGUGGUUAAUGGGUGAUUUAAUUGGUAAUUAAUGGAUUAAUUAGACAUAAAUUCAUUAAUUAGCCAAUUAACUCAAUUUAUAUGGAAUGUUUUGAAGGUUAAGGAAUGAUUAAAAUAAAUAGUUAAUUUAUUAGCUAAAAAGGUGAGAAAGAGGUAAAAAAAUAUAUGGAAUGAAAUAGGUGGGAGUUACCUUGUAGAAGGGAUUUGAUGAGAUCAGUUUUGAAUUGUUACCUAUUUUGGGCAUUUUUGACUUGAUUGAGGGAUGAUUGUCCACUGCUCGCGCGUAGGAAUCUCGAUGUGCCUCGAGGGUAAUUUUAUCCUUUUAACCCAAAAAUCCAUGUGUCACCUCUUGAAUUCUUUUGGCUCCACACUUAUGUGCCUGACAACUAGGUUUUACACAUUCUAAUUAAUUUAUUAAAAUAAAUAUUAUAAUAAAAAAUAUAAAAAUCUAAAAUCACCGUAAAGAGUUGAAUAACAAAUGUAUUAAUAAUCGGAGUGAAAAAUGAAAUGCCAAAGAAAUAACGUGAAGCCCAAAUUGGGCUUGCCAUCUCGGCUGCAAGAAAAAAAAAA
rnacentral:lncRNA from 1 species